CGGCUUAGGUUCGAACCUGCAGGGUCACACACAUUAGAGGUUCCUUUCUGAUCUGAUGGCUGAUUAUGAGUCUUAUCUAUCUGAGACUCUAUGAUUGAAAAUUAGAAUUCUCUGAUCAUGAGUUUCACACAUUUUGAGUACCGGGGUCAAAAUUUUGAAUUUCAAAUUUUGAAUUUGAAAUUUGAAUUCUUUGAUCAGGAUUUCAUAUCGAUGGUCUCUGAUGCCUGAUUUCCCAUCGGAUUUGGACUUAAUAUUUAUGAAAGGUUUAAUUAGUGAUUUGAUCACUAAUUAACUCAAUUUGAUUAAGUAAUUAUUUUUGGAUCAAGUCCAAUUGAAUUGGAUUCAGUUUGGAUUGACCCGAUUAGGUUAAAUGUUGACCUAAUCGCUAAGGUGGUUUAGUCUCUGAUUUGAUCAGGGG
rnacentral:lncRNA from 1 species